rnacentral:lncRNA from 1 species
UUUUUAUCGAGAAUCAUCUACAGACUUUCAUUCUCCAGUAAAUCAACACCACCACCACCCUAGCCCGCACUACUCCAUCAUCGAUCCCUAGGUUUCCAAUGGGGUUCAGGUAACUACAAGGUUUGGAUCUCACAACACUCGUCAAUGGAAGAGUGCUAGUUGUGGUAGCUCGGGGAGAUGGGACUUACCGGCGACAAAACCUAAACAUAAAUUCGUUAUCUUCGUCGGAAACGUUUUCGAUUGAUGACACAUUGUUUGCCAAAUAUAAGCAUACCACCACUUUCCUCUUCCCUGCUCUGGUCAGAUUUAAGAAUUACAACAAAUUUUUUAGUUUAUUGUUCAAUUGGAAGCUAAUUGAAGAAAAUUGUUUUAUUGAUAUCUGAAAAUUUGUGUUCAGAUUCAUUGUGAAAGCUAUUAGCUACCAGAUGAACUUGCAAUUUUGAAUCAAUUUGUGAAUUUCUCUAUCAAAUCAGAUGUGUGUGCUCUAGAUUAUAGUGAUUUUGUUUCAAGGUGCACCAACAGUUGGAAUGGGACAAGAAGCUAUCAAGAGCUCAUUUGAAUUUGUUAAGAAGUUUUAUUUGCGAAUUAUAUAUAGGGGAAUUGUAUUAAAAAAACCAAACUAA